GGUGGACAUGGCUGAACAAACCAUUCCCUUUCUGUUUGUAGCAAUCUUUGACCUGUUUGCAGGCUGCUGUGGUGUCUUGCCUCGCUGCUGUUCUUGGCUCAGUGAGGACCAACUGGGGUGGCUGUGUUCCUGGGCAACACGUGUGGAUGGAUGUGUCACCUCUGGACUCAUUCUUUCCAAAUGGUCCAUUUCUGUUUGAAAACAGAACAUUGGCCUUCUGAUGAAAAUCAGCCCUUUACGGUGAAAACCUGGGAUACUCUUGCUUGAACAAGACAUAUGUGGAACUUAGCCCUGUUGAGGAUGCUGGCAAUAAACCUUCAAGGCACUGUGGCCAGUAGCUCUUGAGAACAGCUUGUCUGGUUCAACCGGGUAAGGAGAUUUCUCCCAGAUGUGCCUUCUGGUUUUAAACUGGAUGAAGGAGAUUUGCCAUCUCUUUUCUUAAACAGCUGCUAUCUUCUAGCUUCAGAAGUGAAGGCAUUUUAAAGGAAAAUCCUCUUUACCUGGAGGCCAUUUCACACUUUGAACAACUCCCAUCAGGGCAUGCUACAAGGAUAAAUCCAGUGUGGGGUACUGAUGCAAACAGUUGAAAAAGGGAGUUGACAACGGGAAGUUUCUGAAGAUGGCAGAAGACUGAAGACUGUGUAGGUGCUGCUCUUCAAACCCUGAGUGACAUGAGCUGUAACAGUUGCUCACUUCUCGUGGAUACUUGGAGAGUCUCAGUGAACUUCUGAAGAGGGACAGAAGGAAGAAGAGAGUCUGCGCUUGCCCUUAGCAGAGCCCAGCACAGCAUCGAGUGGGUUUUUUCCUCCUGUGACUAACACGUCUCUUCUGCUAUCCCGUGGUGGAUGGUCCUGGUGAGGCUGGAACAGGAUUCAAAAGCAGGCAACUCGCAUGAUAUUGCCUCCUCCUUGCUGCUGGGUGAGUGCCUAUUGCUCACAGGUUUCUCCACUGACUCCGAGGUGCUGUGUGCGGCGUGCUGGCAUGGUUGCCAGGCCUCAUUCCCCUGGCUGCAGGCGCUGCUGUGCCUCUUUCAGCUCAUGCUGUUCAAUUUGGAGGCCGUUGCCAGUAAGUAUUUCUUUUCCAUCCACAUCUGGUUUGCUCCCCUGAAUUACAGGCGUGGUAGUUAGCACAUUAUUUAUGGCAAUUUUGCCUAUUUGUUUAUAUAUACUAAUGUUAUGAGUCCCACAGAAAUACUGACUUUUGCAAAGGACUCCUUGUCAUCCAAAAGCUACUUGUUUUCCUUCCCUGUCUGGAACAGCUAUCGCAGCCAAAAAUGACUCUUACAGCUCAAGUUUUCCUUGCUUUGAAGCCCAGCAAGGACUGGUUCAGAGUCUCAGCUGAGGACUGGCUUAUGUUACUUCAUCUUAGACUAGAUUCCUAACCAAAUUAAGCUGUAAGUGUGGUUUAAACUCUGGUUGAACACAAGGGUUGAACUAACCUGCUCUCAGAGGUGGAAAUGGUGCAACCUGCUCAUGUGAACAAGACAGCACCCUUGAGGAAAGCUCUUGGAGCUGCGACAGACACUGCUUUCUGGACUGAAUUGGAGACCCGUGUCUCAAGAUCUUUGGGCUGUGGAACCAGGAAAGGUCUCUACAUCUUCCCUGAAGCACCUGCCUAUGUACAUUGCCUCCUGGCACAGUGAGGUCCUGAAUUCAGGGAACAGGAGGGCAGAAGUGGGGUGCUUUUACUGGGGUUUAAUUUUUGUAGUCUGGAGGAUAAUCAGGGGUCCUCGAGUUUCUAUGGGAGUUGAAAGAAAGGACAGAGCAAACUGGCACUGUUCCCAGUCCAAAAUGUUUUUACUAAUUGCAUGCAACCUUCCUUACAAGAGACAGAGACUGCAAAUACCACAGGCAGUUUAAUUACCACUGCUGGUUCACAUUGAUCUUAUUUAUGCUGCUCCCAGGGCUGCGUGUGUGUGCAGGGAAUGUGCGCAGGGUAGGAACAGGUUGUGUAAGGAAUUGUGAAUCAAUGUGGAGGGACUAAGCAGUGCGUGUGUGUGUGUGUGUGUGUGUGUGUGUGUGUGUGUGUGUGUGUGUGUGUAUGUAUUUUGAGGGGGGGAUCUUUCCAAAGAGCUGAGCGCUCUCGUCCUGGUUGUCUGCCUCUGGCACACCGGACAGCCGUGUUCCGGAUACCCCAGUGAUGCUGGCGCAGGGCACAAGCAGGAGUGGGAAAGGGGCCAAAUGCAGGUGAACCCUGGUGCAGGGGACACGUGCCAGGGUGAGUUUGACCGGCCACCAGCUUAAUUCAUGGGCCUGUUUCCUGUAGCCUGCUUGGCUCAGCCAUCACUCUGUUAGCGGCUGGCUCAGCUCUAAGGCCCAGCAGUGAAUUGCUUCGCCUUUUCUAACCUUCCCCUCCUUGAAAGCAAUGAGUUUCUUCUCUGUCCCAAAGGGGAGGGGGGAGAAAGUAGCAUGGGAGGAAUCUGACAUGAGCAGGCUGAUGGCUGCCGUCCCAGUGCAGGCUCAGCAAAUGGGGCUCAUGAUGGAUGAAUGUGCAGGGCAAGAAGUAAUAAAAUGGGCCCCAGUCAUGUAAUCUUCCAUUAAAAUGAAAUGCAUACCAGAAAUGAGGCAUUUCUGCAGCUUGUACCAUCUCCCACGGAAGAUCAUGAAUAAAAGAGGCAAGUGUACUGUUGACAGAUGCCGGCAUGCAUAAAGGACAGUUCCUAUAAAGGCAAAGCCCCGGCUAACAGAUGGACUAAAGAUGUGAGAUGCAGGAAGAUUUACCAGUCUAAAUAAUUCAAGGGAAUGUCGUAUGGGGAGGCAGUGCUCUGAGAAGGGAGCCAGCAGAAGGUACAGAUGGAAAGGCAGGCCAGGCCUUUCCCACAAACCCAUUAAGAACGUCGCUUGUCUGAGUGACAGUAUGUUGCACAAGGCACCAGCAGAGAUGGGUGGAUUUGCCUCCAGCACUCCUUCUGCAAGGUCAGGAGAAGAGUUAAUUUCAAAGGUUGCAACUUUUCGAGGGCAUGCCUCCUCUCUUGUGAGGCUGGUUUCUCAGACCUUCCUCCUCUCUCCUCCUCUUCCUCACCACCCCACCUCCUGCCUUCGGGGAAAAUGAGAGCAUGGAGAUGGUGCUGAAGCAAUGAGUGGAGGGUUGAGAUAGUAAAGGUUCAGGGCUUCCUUUGUCCUUUUCUGCCCUGCUCAGGUCUGCCGUGGGUCCCUGGCGGUCCUUUGGGCCCUUGGGGAGGCUGAACAUGCCUGGUGGCUAAUCUUGCUGCGGGGCUGUCGGUCCCAUGCUGCAGGCCUUUUUAAUCCCGCCUUGCUGCAGGAGGAUCUGCAGUGGCACUGAGCAGAGCAGGCCUCAAGGUGCCAAGCAGCCCCAGCCGUGGUGAGGUGGGUGUAGCCCCGAUGCCAAAGCGAGCACUGACAGCCGAGAUGCCCUUGCUCCGCCCUAAGGAGUUUUUGCACCUGCCACAUUGCAAUGGCCGGCAUCUCUCGGAGCAAGCGAGGCCUGAUGAGUGCCUCACACCCACCGCUUAAGGACACGACCCAGGUUUGGUUUUUGGAGAGCUGGUUCUCUCAUUCCAGAGGUGUCUCUGCCUGUCUGGGAGCCCUGCAAAUCAGGGCUCUCUGAAGUACUUGUAACGCACUUGGAGAACACGUCUGGUGCCUAAAUGGGCUGGGCAUCCUGCCUGCUGUCACUCUGGCAGGGCACCGGUCCCCAGGGAGUUCUGGCCUGUCUGGCCCUGUGGACAUCUCUGAUCCCUCAGGAUAACCCCAGAUGUUGGCACUUGGAUAACUGAAUCCUACCCUCAGUUUCCCCAUGUGCAGACCCUGCCAGGUCUCCUGUGUCAAGCAUGAAGUCUAAGUAUGCAGUUCCUGCUUCUCUCUCUCUCCCCUUCCUCCCCCUCAGCACCCCGAGGCCUGUCUCUCAUGGGCACAGAGCAGUGCCAGCUCCCUUCCUUUGCCCAGGGUCCCCAGGAUAUUGCUGAUUACCCAUGCCUGAGUUCCCCCUGCGUGAUCCUACAUGCUGGUAAUAGCAGAAAGCUGAGGAGUUGACAUUUAACACUCUGAACAUGGGUGCCUUAGCUCUCCCCUCCUGGGGGCUCAGUCCCUCGAUGAAAGCAUCGAUCCAUGGGCUCAGACUCUUGUGGGGCAUUGGGUGGCUUUGUGGUGCUUGGUUAGCAGAGGUGGCUGCUAUGAGCCAUCUUGAUAGAGAUGCUACAGUGCCCUGAUGUCAGGGCCAUGGGAGCUGGAAAAAUUGUGUAAAACCCCCAAGCUAUCAAGUUUAAGGCUGAGAAGACCUGGUUGAGCUGUUGAAGCAUGUUGGGACAGUCUUGGCAGUGCAGGGCACAGGGGCUGAGCUGAAGUAUGAAACUGGGGCAGACUUGUGUGGCUCUAGGGACAGGGUCCCAUUUUCUGCUCUCCUGGGAUGGGGUGUUGUGGUGGCUGAGUGCAGAGCUGGUCAUCACCUCUGGAGAUGCCCAGUCUCCUGUAUCUCCCGGGGCUGGCUCAGUGAACGUGAAACAUUUUGGAAGAAGAGGGAAGAUAAAGGGUAAGAUGCAGAGGGUUAGAUAGAAGUCAGCGGCAGCUGCUUGGCAGAGAUUGUGUGCGCUCUCCGCUCAGAGAGGACGCCUUCCCCGGGCUCGUCAGCCGUCUGCAGCAUGGCGAUUAAUCAUUGGUGUCAGAAUCCCUAAUCCUAUUCAAUGGAAAACAAACAGCGCGGCAUCCAGCCCUGUGCUGAGCCCAAGCAAUUAGCAUGUUUACAUGGGCUGGGAAGGCUCAACAAAGAGUGGCCAACGGGGGCCACGGGAAAUGAACCCUUGUCAGCCCUUGAUGUUCGAAGUGCUCCAGGAUCCCUGGGCUCUGACCCAGGCCCAAGCUUAGAAAUGUGGCUUGCGCAGAUUGAAUGCAGCUACUUGCUACCAAAAAUUAUUUUUCUUGAUUAGGGCUCAGAGCUGUGAGUGUGGGCAGCUGUUAAAGUGGGGGACGGUGUCUGAUCCCUGCUGGGGAAAUGGAGGUGUGGAGAGGGUAAGGGAUUUGCUUUUCAACACAGAGUCAGUGGCAGAAGUAGCUAAACCUUGCUGCCAGCACCUUAUCUCCUUUCCUCCUGUCCCUCUCUGGCCCACACCACUGGAGCUACAUCUGCCUGGUUGAAAUUAGUUUCAUGUCUGAUGUUUCUCCCCCAAAGCUGUGCUUUGGAUAACUGCUAAGCAGUGCUAGACUCAGCUCCCUCUGAAGGGAGGUCUGUGAACCAUGGUGGGUCUCAGGCCCCUUGAGCAGAUUUUAAAGAAGUUUGAGAUGUGGGUUAUAUGGAAAGAUGCAGGACUAAACAAACGCAUGCUACAGGGCUGGGUGUCCGUGGCACAGACAGCCUAGUGGUUUGCAGAAGCUAUCUCAGACAAAACCAUUUCCCCAAACUAAGACUAACAAAAUGCUUCUUCAAAGGCUACAUUGAUGAUCCCCUAAGGAAAAGGAUCUCUGAGUGUGUGUGUGUGACCUCUGCCCAUAAUAUACACAGCUGAACCUGUUUUAAACUAGCCAGCUCAGCACAUGUGGCAGGACUUGCCCAGGUGAGCUGAGUAGUUGCUUUGAUGGUGGGCUUGUGCUGCUGCAGGGCCAAAGGGACUGUUGACACCGAGCGGGUCUACAUGGACCCCUGAGCUAUGGCCUGUGUGGGACUGCCUUGCCUGGGCACCCUCUGCCCUGUGUAAUGGCUCCUGCUCUGGCAGUCCCCUCUCUCCUAGAGGUUCAAGUUGAUCACAUCCUCCUGUAAUCUUGUUUUCUGCAUGACAUAGUGUGUGGGGUUUCUCUGGAAAACCUGCAUCUGUAGUAUCUCCCACUCCAAGAUCUUCACAAAGGGCAGGGUGAGCUACUCACAGCCAAAGCCAGGGCUCAGGGUGAAGUCCGAGAUGCCCUGCGGUGCACAACGGGGAAUCCUCUGUGUGUGCAUCCAUGCACAACUGAGAUGGCUGGGGCACGCUGAGACCUGCUGUUCCUGCUCUGCAGCACCGCUAACGGUAAGGGUCUGGCUGGGAGGUGCGAGGGGCAUUUUAGUUGUGCUUUGCAAUUGGCCUGCGCUGCAGUAAACCAUAGUGCAGAGAGCAGUACAAGAGAAGAUUAUUUAACUGGGCUCUGCAAGCAGGAUUCCUUAGAGUAACAGAUAAAAACAGCAAACAAGGAGUGAGACAUAAGCUACAUUUCUGUAGGACCUACCAGAAGCUGUGUGACAGUUUAGGGCUGCUGGCAGAGGGAGAAGUGGAGUUUGUUUGAUUCAACUCUUAAGCUUCAAGUGGACUGUGCUGCUUCUGGGCUUGGGAGGGUGGGAGUGAGACAGCCCUUGCAAGUACUUGAUUUCUUUUGAAAUGAAGGGGCAUUCCUGGAUACACAGCUUUCCUGCUUCCCUUUCAGAAAUACAUCUGAUUUUGGGGGGUGGAAAAAAGAGAAUUGAUUCAAAUAAAAAUGUGUUUGUAUGAGGAAAAAAAUAUUUCCUUCCAUGAGAAAACACAUAGUUUGAGGCAAAUUUAUGGCUUUGGCCUGGUCAUUAAUAUCUGGUUGUCAAAAAGUAUUGGUUUGAACAAAAAUAUGUAGUAAUAAAAAUGCAUUGUUUUGAAGAAA